rnacentral:misc_RNA from 1 species
UACGGAGGGUGCAAGCGUUGUUCGGAUUUACUGGGCGUAAAGGGUGCGUAGGCGGCUUCGUCAGUCGGGGGUGAAAUCCCGGAGCUCAACUCCGGAACUGCUCCCGAAACUACGGAUCUUGAGAUAGUCAGAGGCGGGUAGAAUUCCAGGUGUAGAGGUGAAAUUCGUAGAGAUCUGGAGGAAUACCGGCGGCGAAGGCGGCCCGCUGGGGCUUAUCUGACGCUGAGGCACGAAAGCGUGGGCAGCAAACAGG